rnacentral:rRNA from 1 species
UACGUAGGGUGCAAGCGUUGUCCGGAAUUAUUGGGCGUAAAGAGCUCGUAGGCGGUCUGUCGCGCUGCUAGUCGAAAACCCGAGGCGUCAACCUCGGGCCUGCAGUGGGUACGGGCAGACUAGAGUGCGGUAGGGGGAGAUUGGAAUUGCUGGUGGUAGCGGUGGAAUGCGGCAGAAUAUCAGGAGGAACACCAAUGGCGAAAGGG